GAGUUGAUAUUAAUCGAGACUAACACGUGUUUCCGCUGUUGCAGUAAACAACAACAACUAUGGAUUUACGAUGUAAAACACGUCAAUUCAUCAGAUGUGACUGGUCUUUUCUUUGGCAUUAGAUGUGACAUGUGUGUUGUGUGCUGGUACCAAAUCCUCAGAACUUUCAUCUGUGAAGUCCUUCUUGCUAAUCCCACCACUGGCCAUCAUGCACAGAAAAGAUCAUGAUGUGGAGGACAUAGGUGCUUAGUUAUCAGCUUAUAGAAGCUGAUCCCUUGUACAGACAAGUCAAAGAAGAAUCUCCUCCAGUCUUUCAGGGAAGUGGCAGUUGAUGAAAGAAUGGAGGCACGAAGUAAAAGUGCUCUGGUCUUCAACAUUUUGUGGAAGAUUUAAUCAUUCUGAUCUGGAAUUCAUUUUGCAAUAUUUCGUGAUUUGUAUAUUUGGACAUAAGCGUAACAUUUUUCAACCAAUUGUCAAAACAGUUUUGCAUUAAUUGCCAUUGCAAUGUAUUAUUAUUUCCUUUCAAGAUGGCAUGUCAAUUCUUUAUUGUACCCCUUAAGCUCUGUUAUACCAGUAAAAUCUUGCAAUGAAAUCAUUCAAGUUUAUUUUUACCUCUUAGAUUAAUUUUUGCUUGCAAAUUUUGUCGUUCGCUGUUUUUUUAAGUCAACUAUUAGAUGAUUUUUCCAUGACUGUAACAUUUCAAAACUGAUAUAUACUUACAAUUUUAAGUAGAAAUUGAAUUCUGUACUGAUUUGACCUUGACCCCCUAAGAACAAGAGUGUCAAGGUCAAUACUUAAUACAAAAAUGUUCUUUCAUUUUUUUGGGCCCAUAUCUUACAAACAACAUCACGGAAUAUACAAAAAGUGUCUAGAAUGUGUCCAGAAUGAGAAAUAACAAACAUGUACAUGUGUUUAGUUUAAAAAAUUGAAAAUGCUGUUGCUUAGCAACCACUUAAAGGUCAUUAAGCAAAAAUUUGAACUAAAAUGAUGUAUGGA